rnacentral:rRNA from 1 species
GAUGAACGCUGGCGGCGUGCCUAACACAUGCAAGUCGAGCGAACGGACGAGAAGCUUGCUUCUCUGAUGUUAGCGGCGGACGGGUGAGUAACACGUGGAUAACCUACCUAUAAGACUGGGAUAACUUCGGGAAACCGGAGCUAAUACCGGAUAAUAUUUUGAACCGCAUGGUUCAAAAGUGAAAGACGGUCUUGCUGUCACUUAUAGAUGGAUCCGCGCUGCAUUAGCUAGUUGGUAAGGUAACGGCUUACCAAGGCAACGAUGCAUAGCCGACCUGAGAGGGUGAUCGGCCACACUGGAACUGAGACACGGUCCAGACUCCUACGGGAGGCAGCAGUAGGGAAUCUUCCGCAAUGGGCGAAAGCCUGACGGAGCAACGCCGCGUGAGUGAUGAAGGUCUUCGGAUCGUAAAACUCUGUUAUUAGGGAAGAACAUAUGUGUAAGUAACUGUGCACAUCUUGACGGUACCUAAUCAGAAAGCCACGGCUAACUACGUGCCAGCAGCCGCGGUAAUACGUAGGUGGCAAGCGUUAUCCGGAAUUAUUGGGCGUAAAGCCGCGCGUAGGCGGUUUUUUAGUCUGAUGUGAAAGCCCACGGCUCACCCGUGGAGGGUCAUUGGAAACUGGAAAACUUGAGUGCAGAAGAGGAAAGUGGAAUUCCAUGUGUAGCGGUGAAAUGCGCAGAGAUAUGGAGGAACACCAGUGGCGAAGGCGACUUUCUGGUCUGUAACUGACGCUGAUGUGCGAAAGCGUGGGGAUCAAACAGGAUUAGAUACCCUGGUAGUCCACGCCGUAAACGAUGAGUGCUAAGUGUUAGGGGGUUUCCGCCCCUUAGUGCUGCAGCUAACGCAUUAAGCACUCCGCCUGGGGAGUACGACCGCAAGGUUGAAACUCAAAGGAAUUGACGGGGACCCGCACAAGCGGUGGAGCAUGUGGUUUAAUUCGAAGCAACGCGAAGAACCUUACCAAAUCUUGACAUCCUUUGACAACUCUAGAGAUAGAGCCUUCCCCUUCGGGGGACAAAGUGACAGGUGGUGCAUGGUUGUCGUCAGCUCGUGUCGUGAGAUGUUGGGUUAAGUCCCGCAACGAGCGCAACCCUUAAGCUUAGUUGCCAUCAUUAAGUUGGGCACUCUAAGUUGACCGCCGGUGACAAACCGGAGGAAGGUGGGGAUGACGUCAAAUCAUCAUGCCCCUUAUGAUUUGGGCUACACACGUGCUACAAUGGACAAUACAAAGGGCAGCGAAACCGCGAGGUCAAGCAAAUCCCAUAAAGUUGUUCUCAGUUCGGAUUGUAGUCUGCAACCCGACUACAUGAAGCUGGAAUCGCUAGUAAUCGUAGAUCAGCAUGCUACGGUGAAUACGUUCCCGGGUCU